rnacentral:rRNA from 1 species
ACUCAAAUGAAUUGACGGGGGCCCGCACAAGCGGUGGAACAUGUGGUUUAAUUCGACAUUACGCGAGGAACCUUACCUAGGUUUGACAUGCAUUUGACAGCUCUAGAAACAGAGUCUUUCGGGCUUCGGUCCGAACAGGUGCACAGGUGCUGCAUGGCUGUCGUCAGCUCGUGUCGUGAGAUGUUGGGUUAAGUCCUUUAACGAGCGCAACUCCUGUCGUCAGUUGCCACUGCGUGAGCAAGCACUCUGGCGAGACUGCCUGGGAAACCAGGAGGAAGGUGGGAAUGACGUCAAGUCAUCAUGGUCCUUAUACCUAGGGCAACACACGUGUUACAAUGGCUAAUACAAAGAGCAGCAAGCUCGUAAGAGUAAGCUAAUCUCAUAAAAUUAGUCUAAGUUCAGAUUGGGGUCUGCAACUCGACCCCAUGAAGUUGAAAUCGCUAGUAAUCGCGCAUCAGAACGGCGCGGUGAAUACGUUCUCGGGCCUUGUACACACCGCCCGU